UUAAACCAAAUCUUAGACAAAUCCUAAGCUCUAAAUAAAUCUUAAAUCCUAAACCAAAUCUUAGUAAAACUUUAAAUCCUAAAUCAAAUCUUAGAUAAAUCUUAAAUCCUAAAUAAAUUCUAAAUCCUAAAUCAAACUCUAGAAAAGUCUUAAAUCCUAAAUCAAAUCCUAAAUAAAUUUUAAACUCUAAAUAAAUCUUAAAUCCUAAAUCAAAUCUUAGAA
rnacentral:lncRNA from 1 species